CCUGCAUGAGUCUGUAAAGGAGGACCUGAGCUAACACAGUAUUGUUUACUUACUUGGCCUUUGAUCUGCUCUCAUCCACUGACUGGCCAUCCAAUGCCAUGCACUGCUCUAGGAGCUGGGAUGCUCCUUGUGUGAUCAUAUUGCACAAAAUUCCACCUGUAGAAUCACAUUCUGUGUUUUCAUGAGACCACAAACAGAGUCAAGUUUGAGAAUCUGGGUACUUGGCAUUUGGCCCCACCAGGC
rnacentral:lncRNA from 1 species